rnacentral:tRNA from 1 species
GGUAGUGUGGCCGAGCGGUCUAAGGCGUUAGAUUCAAGAUCCUAAUACUCAAUGAGUGCCUGGGUUCGAAUCCCAGCGCUACCA